rnacentral:lncRNA from 13 species
GGUCACUGUGUGUGGGGUGCUGUCCUGGAGCUGGCCCGGUCUGACUAGCAGGAGCAGAAGUCACUUGAGCCCACGGGUUCAAUUUCAGGCAUAGUGCCCAACUGGGACGGUCCUGUGGGUGCUGCCAUUAUGUUGGGGAGGGGUAUCAAGGCUGGGGUAGAGGGUGUGGCAGGGAGGCAGUGCAGGUUACAGAGCUAAUGAGAGGGUGGAGAGAGUUGGAGAGUGCUUUGAUGUGGGGGUAAAGGAAUGGAGGGAGCCAAGAUGCCCCCAGGUCCCUGGCUGGGUUCCUGUAGGGAGAGUGGAGAUGGCAGAUGCUGAGCCCAAAGCACUGGGCUGGGGUUGGGGCUGGGCUGGAGAUGAGGGCAGUUCUGGGUGGGUGAGUUUGUGGGGCUCUGAGACAUCUUGAUGCAGGUGGCUGGGGGAACUGCAUUUACCGGUAGAGUGAACUGGCAGGUGGGCAGUCAUUGCACCUAAGCUCUCGAGCCUGUGGGAAAGGAUGAGAUUGCCCAGGAAGCAGAGGGGUCAGGGACUGGCCCUCAGGAGUGGCCUUGGGUCAGUAUGAAGAGAAAAGUCUUCUCCUCCUGAGGGGUGGCCCAGAGCCAACCCGUAGAGUGCUGCAGAAAUGCUGGCAACAGGCAGAAUCUACCUCAAUGGUGAUGGGACGCCUCCAUGGUACAACGGCAGUAAAAUCAAUUGCUACCGAAACACCACCUGCUUUCCUCUUUUGCUGGACAUAGCUCCCCAUUAAAGAUUCCAGUUCCAACUUUCUCUGGAACCAACCAGCUGAGUCAUCAGAGGUCACAAGAGCAGAUGCCUCUAGGGAGUGAGGAGAGGAGGGAUCUGCCGCAAACUGAAAGGUAAGUGCCUCAUUUAACGGCUGCUA